rnacentral:rRNA from 1 species
CACGUAGGCGGAUUAUUAAGUCAGAUGUGAAAUCCCGGGGCUCAACUCCGGAACUGCAUUUGAAACUGGUAAUCUAGAGUUCAGGAGAGGUUAGCGGAAUACCGAGUGUAGAGGUGAAAUUCGUAGAUAUUCGGUGGAACACCAGUGGCGAAGGCGGCUAACUGGACUGAUACUGACGCUGAGGUGCGAAAGUGUGGGGAGCAAACA